CGACCCUACGGGCGCAGCAGUAGGGAAUCUUCCACAAUGGGCGAAAGCCUGAUGGAGCAACGCCGCGUGGGUGAAGAAGGUCUUCGGAUCGUAAAACCCUGUUGUUAGAGAAGAAAGUGCGUGAGAGUAACUGUUCACGUUUCGACGGUAUCUAACCAGAAAGCCACGGCUAACUACGUGCCAGCAGCCGCGGUAAUACGUAGGUGGCAAGCGUUGUCCGGAUUUAUUGGGCGUAAAGGGAACGCAGGCGGUCUUUUAAGUCUGAUGUGAAAGCCUUCGGCUUAACCGGAGUAGGGCAUUGGAAA
rnacentral:rRNA from 1 species